AGAGUUUGAUCCUGGCUCAGAUUGAACGCUGGCGGCAUGCUUUACACAUGCAAGUCGGACGGCAGCACAGGGAAGCUUGCUUCUCGGGUGGCGAGUGGCGAACGGGUGAGUAACAUAUCGGAACGUACCGGGUAGUGGGGGAUAACUGAUCGAAAGAUCAGCUAAUACCGCAUACGUCUUGAGAGGGAAAGCAGGGGACCUUCGGGCCUUGCGCUAUCCGAGCGGCCGAUAUCUGAUUAGCUGGUUGGCGGGGUAAAGGCCCACCAAGGCGACGAUCAGUAGCGGGUCUGAGAGGAUGAUCCGCCACACUGGGACUGAGACACGGCCCAGACUCCUACGGGAGGCAGCAGUGGGGAAUUUUGGACAAUGGGCGCAAGCCUGAUCCAGCCAUGCCGCGUGUCUGAAGAAGGCCUUCGGGUUGUAAAGGACUUUUGUCAGGGAAGAAAAGGCCGUUGCCAAUAUCGGCGGCCGAUGACGGUACCUGAAGAAUAAGCACCGGCUAACUACGUGCCAGCAGCCGCGGUAAUACGUAGGGUGCGAGCGUUAAUCGGAAUUACUGGGCGUAAAGCGGGCGCAGACGGUUACUUAAGCAGGAUGUGAAAUCCCCGGGCUCAACCCGGGAACUGCGUUCUGAACUGGGUGACUCGAGUGUGUCAGAGGGAGGUGGAAUUCCACGUGUAGCAGUGAAAUGCGUAGAGAUGUGGAGGAAUACCGAUGGCGAAGGCAGCCUCCUGGGAUAACACUGACGUUCAUGUCCGAAAGCGUGGGUAGCAAACAGGAUUAGAUACCCUGGUAGUCCACGCCCUAAACGAUGUCAAUUAGCUGUUGGGCAACUUGAUUGCUUGGUAGCGUAGCUAACGCGUGAAAUUGACCGCCUGGGGAGUACGGUCGCAAGAUUAAAACUCAAAGGAAUUGACGGGGACCCGCACAAGCGGUGGAUGAUGUGGAUUAAUUCGAUGCAACGCGAAGAACCUUACCUGGUUUUGACAUGUGCGGAAUCCUCCGGAGACGGAGGAGUGCCUUCGGGAGCCGUAACACAGGUGCUGCAUGGCUGUCGUCAGCUCGUGUCGUGAGAUGUUGGGUUAAGUCCCGCAACGAGCGCAACCCUUGUCAUUAGUUGCCAUCAUUCGGUUGGGCACUCUAAUGAGACUGCCGGUGACAAGCCGGAGGAAGGUGGGGAUGACGUCAAGUCCUCAUGGCCCUUAUGACCAGGGCUUCACACGUCAUACAAUGGUCGGUACAGAGGGUAGCCAAGCCGCGAGGCGGAGCCAAUCUCACAAAACCGAUCGUAGUCCGGAUUGCACUCUGCAACUCGAGUGCAUGAAGUCGGAAUCGCUAGUAAUCGCAGGUCAGCAUACUGCGGUGAAUACGUUCCCGGGUCUUGUACACACCGCCCGUCACACCAUGGGAGUGGGGGAUACCAGAAGUAGGUAGGGUAACCGCAAGGAGCCCGCUUACCACGGUAUGCUUCAUGACUGGGGUGAAGUCGUAACAAGGUAGCCGUAGGGGAACCUGCGGCUGGAUCACCU
rnacentral:rRNA from 1 species